GCCAAAUGAUGUUAAAGUAGACGUCAAGAGCACUCUGUGCAAAGAUGACCCAGAUCUAUCACCCAAGACUGAUGGCU
ensembl:snoRNA SNORD83 Small nucleolar RNA SNORD83